rnacentral:tRNA from 1 species
GAUUAGAAAAUUAAAGACUUCGAAUCUUUUAGAGCGAAAGCUCUAAUCU